rnacentral:rRNA from 1 species
AAUCUUCCGCAAUGGACGAAAGUCUGACGGAGCAACGCCGCGUGAGUGAUGAAGGUUUUCGGAUCGUAAAGCUCUGUUGUUAGGGAAGAACAAGUGCCGUUCAAAUAGGGCGGCACCUUGACGGUACCUAACCAGAAAGCCACGGCUAACUACGUGCCAGCAGCCGCGGUAAUACGUAGGUGGCAAGCGUUGUCCGGAAUUAUUGGGCGUAAAGGGCACGCAGGCGGUUUCUUAAGUCUGAUGUGAAAGCCCCCGGCUCAACCGGGGAGGGUCAUUGGAAACUGGGGAACUUGAGUGCAGAAGAGGAGAGUGGAAUUCCACGUGUAGCGGUGAAAUGCGUAGAGAUGUGGAGGAACACCAGUGGCGAAGGCGACUCUCUGGUCUGUAACUGACGCUGAGGAGCGAAAGCGUGGGGAGCGAACAGG